rnacentral:rRNA from 1 species
UCCUACGGGGGGCGNAGCAGUAGGGAAUCUUCCGCAAUGGACGCAAGUCUGACGGAGCAACGCCGCGUGAGUGAUGAAGGUUUUCGGAUCGUAAAGCUCUGUUGCCAGGGAAGAACGCCAUGGGGAGUCACUGCCCUGUGGGUGACGGUACCUGAGAAGAAAGCCCCGGCUAACUACGUGCCAGCAGCCGCGGUAAUACGUAGGGGGCAAGCGUUGUCCGGAAUUAUUGGGCGUAAAGCGCGCGCAGGCGGUCAUUUAAGUUUGGUGUUUAAGCCCGGGGCUCAACCCCGGAUCGCACUGAAAACUGGAUGACUUGAGUGCGGGAGAGGAAAGUGGAAUUCCACGUGUAGCGGUGAAAUGCGUAGAGAUGUGGAGGAACACCCAGUGGCGAAGGCGACUUUCUGGACCGUAACUGACGCUGAGGCGGCGAAAGGCGGGCCCCGAA